GGGGUCCUUGCUGCGGGAUCACAUUCACCCAGUGCUAUACCAGCUGCACUGGCUCCCGGUGGAGUACAGGGUCAGGUUUAAGGUGCUGUUUUUAACCUUUAAAGCCCUAUAUGGCCUAGGACCCUCGUACCUACGGGACUGCCUCUCCUAGUAUGUCCCAUGGAGGACCUUACAGUUUUCAAACAAAAACAUCUUGGAGAUCCCAGGCCACAGCUUUUUUCAGAUGUGGCCCCGACUUGGUGGAACGCUCUGUCACAAGAGACUAGGGCCCUGCGGGACCUGACAUCUUUCCGCAGGGCCUGCAAGACGGAGCUGUUCCGCCUGGCCUUUGGCCAAGGCACAGCCUGACCCCCUCCUUUGGUAAUCCUCACAGAACUCUAGCCCAAUGGUUGCCAUUAAUUCAAUUUGAACAAUUUAUAAUGAACUGAUUUUAGACUGCUGUAUUACUUUACUGUUGUUAGCCGCCCUGAGCCUGGCUUCGGCUGGGGAGGGCAGGAUAUAAAUAAUUUUUUAUUUUUUAUUUUUUAUUUUUUAUUAUUAUUAUCAUCAUCAUGAUCUUUGUUCACAAAUAGGUAUAAAGUGCUUGAGAAGAAAAGACUGCUGGAUGAACCCAGUCCAAACUUCCUGAGCUAAUAUAUGAAUUGAAAGCUGUUCAAAGGCUCUUCUAGUCCAGCACCCUGUUCCCACAGUGGCCAAAGAGAUGCCAGUGGGAAACCAGUAAGCAGGAUUAGAGCACAAGAGCCCUCUUCCAUAAGAACAGCCUACUGGAUCAGGCCGAUGGCCCACCUAAUCUAUUUUUUAUUUUUUUAAUGAUAUUUAUUAAGGUUU